rnacentral:lncRNA from 1 species
CGAGGUCCAUAAACUGGAUGUUGAGAAGGAACGAACGGAAGAUAUUGUUCCUGGUCGUUCGACAGUGGAGAUCAUGAGUGGUCAAGAUAAUGUGCCUCAGAUAUCAUGGAACUACACUGAGUUUUCUGUUGGUUAUCCCAGUUUAUCAAAGGAAGUUUGUGUUGGUCAAUAUUAUCUGCGUUUAUUACUGGAAAGUGGCAGCAGUGGCAGGGCACAGGAUUUCCCACUGCGUGAUCCAGUUGCCUUUUUUAGAGCGUUGUAUCAUCGAUUCUUAUGUGAUGCUGACAUAGGG